ACAGAACCAACAAAUCAUGAUGAAGCUGUCUACGACAAAGAGAGACCAGGAAUUACAUGGCCAAAGCAAUUGAAUGCCCCACUUGAGGUUGUUGAUCCUUAGAUUGCUGAUAUAAUUGAGCUCGAAAAAGCUAGGCAAUGGAAGGGGCUUGAAUUGAUACCGUCAGAGAAUUUCACUUCAGUCUCUGUAAUGCAAGCUGUUGGCUCAGUCAUGACUAA